UACGGGGGGGGCAAGCGUUGUUCGGAAUUACUGGGCGUAAAGGGCGCGUAGGCGGCCUUCUAAGUCGGACGUGAAAUCCCUCGGCUUAACCGAGGAACUGCGUCCGAUACUGAAAGGCUUGAAUCCGGGAGAGGGAUGUGGAAUUCCAGGUGUAGCGGUGAAAUGCGUAGAUAUCUGGAGGAACACCGGAGGCGAAGGCGGAUCACUGGACUGCCACUGACGCUGAGGCGCGAAAGCUAGGGGAGCAAACAGG
rnacentral:rRNA from 1 species